UAACUGCACUCACUAGAAGGAAUUGAUUGCAGGCAUAUAUAAAAUUGCUGUUGGAGGAGCUUAGUCUUCUUUACUCUUGUCCUUAAAGGGAUUUAAGAGAAAGACACACACAUAGUGUACCAGUAAAAUAGUAAAACAAAAUUUAUUUAGAUUGCACUCACAAAAUUUCAAAGAAAGUCCAGUGUAUCACAACAAAUGUCUUGC